GUGGCGCAAGGUGGAAUCCUAGUCUUACUAGGAUUCAAUCUAUGACUUGUUCAAAUUUGGUUUCUCAAACCAAAUCAAAUCAAAAUCAAAUCAACCCAAUUAAAAUAGAUCUUAACCCAAUUAAGAAUCUAAUUAAUUAGAUUAAAUUAGAUUUAAAUUAGAUUUAAUUUUUUAAUCCAAUUAAAAAUUAGGUUGACCC
rnacentral:lncRNA from 1 species